UACGGAGGGUGCAAGCGUUAUCCGGAUUUACUGGGUUUAAAGGGUGCGCAGGCGGAUAUGUAAGUCAGUGGUGAAAUCUCCGGGCUUAACCCGGAACUGCCGUUGAUACUAUAUAUCUUGAAUGCUGUGGAGGUAAGCAGAAUAUGUCAUGUAGCGGUGAAAUGCUUAGAUAUGACAUAGAAUACCUAUUGCGAAGGCAGCUUACUACGCAGAUAUUGACGCUCAUGCACGAAAGCGUGGGAUCAAACAGG
rnacentral:rRNA from 1 species